ensembl:lncRNA
UCCUUAUUUAUAGACUACAUAUAUUUUUAGCAUGGCGUAAAAAACGAUACCACGAGUCACUUAGUUAAAGCUCAGAAUGUGGGGAAAACGGCAUAGGCUCAGGUCCAUGGCAUCCAACUCAAAGAACUUACCAGAAGCAUAUCACUCCUCAACUCUCCAUGCAGGCAUUGCAAUGAGAUUUUAGCACCACUAUGUGACAAUGACAACACUAUAUCUACAUGAAGAUGAUUUAUAGAAGGAUAAGAAAAGGAGUGUGGCAAAUUGCAAGGUGAAAGGAAAAAUCAAGGAAGCAGGAUGAAGUGUGGAGGUUUUGCAGGAAAUGGUGGGAUUGAAAUACUCCAGAAUUGGACUGACAAUAUAUAUAUAUAUAUAUAUAGUAAUCCAAAUUCCAUAAUAUACAGAUUUCAUCUGCUGCUAUUUGGAAUUUUUACACUGACUCUUCAGUCAAAAUGUGUAAAUCUGGUGACUUGUAUGCCUGAGAUGGCUCUUGGUCAAAGCUUACAUAAUACCUCUGCACAGGUGGAUAUAAAAGAUAAUACUACAGCUUGAAGAACUAUGAACUGAGAGCUUAAUCAACCAUCUAAAUACUUGUGAAUAUAAUUUAUGGAAAUUUCUUAUCGGUCUGAUGCACAGCACAGCAGGAAGGGCAGCAUGCUAUCAGAGCUGGCAGGCUGUGGGAGCUGAGGCCGUCUCGUAUACAGACAAAAGAGAAAUGUUGCACAAUGGAGCAGUUUAAAGAGCAGAAAGAGUCAUACAAGUUCAAAGGAAAAGGGAAUUGAUAACCUUGCUACCUCUUCAUUCGGAUUCAAAGAGAAGAACAGCAUUGGAAGAAGAUUGUAAAGGAUGUUAGAAUCAGUAGAUUUACUUGCUUGUCAUAACUUAAAGGUUGUCUGUGAUGUUGGAUUGCCAGAAGAUUAAAUCCUGUACUGGAGGAAUUGAAAUGUUAAAGUGACACUUUUAACAGCACAUUUGAUGAAAAUGGUGAUGUCUUCUGCAAGAUGCACUGCACAGUGCUACCGUUCUCUUUUCAGCUUUAUAAGAACAAAAUUUUUGGAGAAAGAAAUUGAGGACUUGGAUCAAUGACUGUGGCUCUCACGUUCUACAGAGCCGUAGUGCUCUCACUCUUGAGGACCUGGUGGAAGCAUAAUAAAGUCAAUGGCUGAUUUACCAUUGACUUCCAUAAAAAUUUAUCUCCUGUGAUCUAAGGUAAUGUCCAUGAGUAAAUGGAAGAUUGCUGAAGCAGUUCAUCUCAUCCUUUUAGCUGGCUAAUAGCCAGGAAAUUACAUGAACUGUUGUGUGUAGAACAGAAAUUAUCUGAUCUAACUUCAAAAAUGUUUGGAGGCAUUUACAUGCAUUAUUAUUUGUUGUGAAGCACUCUUCAUAGACACAACUCUGGGAAAGACACGUAGUAAAUCACAGAAUCAUAGGAUCAGGGCAUAAUACAGAUUUAAAAGGAACUCUGGGAGUCUUCCAGCCUCUCUCUAGAAUUAGCACUGAAGCCCACAGGAAUUCUCCCAUCAAUGUCAAUAAGAACAGGACUAAUGUCAUCUUCUGUGAAUUGCUAUAAUCUACUGUGUUUUUCUACCUUACAUAACUUCCAAAUUUAAAGGUUUGGGUUUUUUUUUUUUUUUUUUUUUUUUUGAAAAGUACCUCAGAAAGUAACCUGCUGAGCAUCAGCUGUAGAAGAAAAGGUGAUCAGAAAUGGGACAGACAGGUUGAAAAAGGGCAGAGACAACAGGCCCAAGAGAUGUAGCUGAAAAGAAACAGGUCAGGAAGAGAAGACUGGGGAUAGCUUUCCCUUACAUGUUUAAUCUUCACAGUAGUUGAAUCACUUUUUUUUUUUUUUAACAGAUAAUACAUAGUGCAGCCAUAUGAUAUGUGUGAUAGUAAGUAUGUCAACUCUGCCUCCUCUUGAGAGACUGAGAUUAAAGAGGUGGAAACUGUAAAUGCUCUGGGAUCUCAGAAUAAUGUUCUUUUCUAUGGGAAUGAAGUUUUUCCAUUUAGGUUUUGCUGAUUAUUACUUCAUGGGAAAGAUAUUACAAUAUCUCACUACUGUUUAUAAGAACCUGUAGGGAAGGAAAAAGUGUUGAGAAGGAGAAGAGCUAAGUCAGUGUAGGAUUUGAAAGAAAAAACUAUAAUUUCCUGGCUGAACUGCAGUAAAAGAAAUCCAAGCACAAAAGGAGGGAUGAGUAAAAUAAUGAGACAAACACAGAUUGGGAGUAUAUUUCAUUUACUAAAAGGUAGGUGCAGAAAGAAGAGAUAAAUACCAGGAUACAUUGGAGUUGCUUUGUAAAUACAACUGUGAGGACUUUGGAAGAGUAAAAAAUGGCAUUAGUAGGGUGUCAGUCAUGUCAUCCUCAGACAGGCACGUUGUCUGGGUAGCUCUCUGGUAGUGCUUGUUCUUCUCCAUUUGGGCACUAGAGGAGCCUAUUUGGACACUCAUCCUAUAGAUGCCUAUGUUGAGACAGAACAAUUAUACCCUCAGGUGGGACUCCUCUUUUCCAGCCUCAGAUAUCAACAGCAUAGAUCUAUAUUUCUAAAGUAAGCAUAUUAGGCUCUCUUUGUGCUCACUGGGGAGAAAUAAGGGCAAAAUCCAUUCGACCUAUUUGUGUCUUAAGCUCAUUUUGUACAAGAUAAACUGUGUCCUAGAGGUGUCUAUUAUGGGAGUUUAUGGUGUCAAGAUCAGGUGUAAAUGUCUGUAUUCUGGACAUCUUAGAACACCACCCUGUAAACAACUUUACCUUGCAGGCAGAUUUCAGAGGUUCGUUAGGUUGUUAGCAACAUCAACGACACUUUCAUAGCCUGGGUCAUCUAAAGGGCACUGUGAUCAUCCAUGCAUCCUUUACUCUGGGCUGGUUUUGGUAUUAGCUACCUUCUCAGCUUUUUUCCAUUCAUCAGGAUCACAGAAUUGUUGAGGCUGACAGGGCCUUCUGGAUCCAUCUGCUCCAGCCCCUUCUCCAGCAGGGACACCCAGAGCAGGGUGCCCAGGGCCACAUCCAGGCAGCUCUGGGAGAUCCACAAGGAGGAGACCUCACAGCCUCGGAGCAGCCUGUGCCAGUGCUCCGUCACUGCACAGCACAUAAGGGCUCCUGGUGUUCAGAGGGAACCUCCUGUGCUCCAGUUUGUGUCCAUGGCCUCUGGCCCUGGCACUGCAGACCACUGACAGAGCCUGGCUCCGGCAUCAGGCACCCUCCCUUCAUUUAUUCAUGACCAAAACACACCUGCUUCAGGAGACUCCUGCUCUGUCUUUGCUUCCUUCUUCUCCCACCACUGUGCUGGAGAUGACACAUUUCAGCCAUCCAGGUUCCAAUGUUAGUGCAGCUGCUACAGAAGCAGAAGCCUCCAGCAUGACAGCAGCAGGGAUCUUCCCUUCCUGUUUGUUUUAUUUUAAAUCAGUUACCAUUCAUGCCUGCAAAGCAAAAUUAGCAGCUCCAUCUGCCAGUGGAUGCAAGAUGGAGGAAGUGCUGAGCACACUGAACUUCUCAGACCUAAGGCUGAAACAGAGGAUUAAAGUGACACUGGGGAGAUCCCUGUCUCACAGAGGACAUAGGAAUUGACCUGGAUCUCUUUCCUGUGUCACUGCUCCUUGUUUAAUUGAAGGGCUUCUCACAGUCAGAUAACAGAAGUGGCCUUGUAUGAAAGAACAUGUCUGGAUCAGAGGGAAUCACACUAGGAAAACCACAGGUUUUAGAGAGGGGCACAGUAGCAUUUGUCAUGGAACUGUCCAGGGAACAGCUUAUCAGUUGAGGUAAAUUGAAGUAAAGUACACACUCUGAAUAGUGUAUCUGUAUAGUUAAAUUAUAAAAACUCCUACUUAAUUACAUUAAAUUUUUUGCUGCUGGAUAUAGUGGAGAAGUGUUUAAAAUGGAGUCACUAACUAUGAGAGAAAGAGGGAAGAAAAACGCAGAGCUUUUUACAUUUUGAGAUAAGCCAACAGGGAAAAGAUUUAGGUACUUCUCACUAUUUGUCACACACCAUCAAGGUACCCAUGCUAACAUGGGUUACAGCUGAAGUACUAGCAAUAGUGGGACUGCAUUGCAGAGGAUAACCUGUUCUCACAGGCCACAUCAAAUCCACACUGUCACAGCCUGCUAUUAGUAAUUAUAAUAGAUGAUUCUAAUUUGUGUUUAGGCUUCAAAGAAUUUUAAGUGUGAAAGAAAGGCAGACUACAGGAAGGGUUGGCAGGCAUAGCUUGGAAAGCACUCAGGAACUGCCUGGCAGGAGAGGCUUGGUGGAUUUUGCAACAGGCUUCCCUGAGCCCUUGGUCUCAUUGCAUUAUGAGGAAACACAGAGAGAAAGGGGCUUUUACAGUGCAAUGACUGCUUUGGAGAAGAUAAACAUGACUUUCAUUUUGUUUCCUGAGCCUGAGGGUCAACAAGGAAACAGAAGAUGGAAAGACAGAUCACUCCCCUGUCACCAAGCUUUCAAAAUCCAGGAAAUUAAGGAUCCAAUUUUAACCCCAUUUUAAAUAAGCCCUUUUGAAAGUUGGUGGAAGUUUUGGGAGCAUGUAUGUGACCUUAUGGGGAAAGUUCUGCUCUGGAAGAAUGAAUGGCACAAUGAACAGGAUGAAGAGUACUACCCAGGCAGGAAUACACUCACUUUUCAGAUCUACUUUAUUGUCUCCUCCUACAGGGAACAUUACUCCUCUCUUUGGUGGAAGAAUAUUUGCAGCCAUUCCACUAAAAUAAUAUUGUUUGCUGCUUUCACAGCUACUAGUGAUUGAGCUAUUACCACACAUCACCAGCCAAGGAACAAAAGAAGAGCCAGCAGCAUUUCUGGAAGUCAUGUAGGUGUACAAGCAGUGUGGGUAGCAGAUGCUGGUGUCAAACUUUCUAAUUGAGAUGGGAAAGUUAACAUGAAUACCAGGGAGAGGCCAGAAGUGGUUUUAGGAGGCAGAGAUCCUCUCAGCCUCCACCAUGCUCUUGCAAGCUUUCCAGUUUGAUGGGUAACUGGCCACGAGAGUCAAAAGUGCAUGGUGCCUUGAGGCAUUUGCAGGACAACUCAAGUUCAUUUUCUUCUCAGCCAGGCUGCAAGAAUAAGAGAUGCUCCUGUGGGAACAAAUCUGCAGAGGGGAUAGUAGCAAACAUUAAUGGGAAAUGGAUAAGUUCAGUUGAGACUGGAGGUCAAGAGAGCUACAGGAGAUGAGCUGUAGAGAAAUUCUAAUGAAAAAUGAGUACAGAUAAUUGGAUACUUGGAAAGAUGCAGACAAAAUAAGCUUAUGUUUAAGGCUUGUUUUCUUUUGACUGAAUCAUUUCUGUGAGCUGGGAACAGUGGGUGCAUAAAGCAUUAAGAUCCUGUGGCCAGUUUCGUUCUGCCUUGGAAACUCAGCAAAGAAAAUUCUGACUGUGUCUCUAUUGGUACAACUGUGCUUUCUGUGGAUGACGAUUAAUUACAAGGCCACAAAAAUUGUGAAAUACAAACUUCAAAAUACUUCCUUAAUAAACUUCUAACCUUUGGGGAAAACAGUAACUUUUAAGGAAUACUGUAGGAAACAGACCUUGAAAGUGAACUCACACAGUAUGUUGAUCUCUCCUGUCUCUCCCACAGGUCCAUUUAGAUACAGGUCUAUCUGUUGUCAUCACAAAAACUGUGGCUAGGAAAAGAGAUUGCUAGGCAAUUACAGAAAGAUUGUUCUUAUCCUUGCAGUUAUGUCUUCACUAGGUUUGCUCAACAAGU